rnacentral:rRNA from 1 species
AACGAACGCUGGCGGCAGGCUUAACACAUGCAGGUCGAACGCCCCGCAAGGGGAGUGGCAGACGGGUGAGUAACGCGUGGGAACAUACCCUUUCCUGCGGAAUAGCUCCGGGAAACUGGAAUUAAUACCGCAUACGCCCUACGGGGGAAAGAUUUAUCGGGGAAGGAUUGGCCCGCGUUGGAUUAGCUAGUUGGUGGGGUAAAGGCCUACCAAGGCGACGAUCCAUAGCUGGUCUGAGAGGAUGAUCAGCCACAUUGGGACUGAGACACGGCCCAAACUCCUACGGGAGGCAGCAGUGGGGAAUAUUGGACAAUGGGCGCAAGCCUGAUCCAGCCAUGCCGCGUGAGUGAUGAAGGCCUUAGGGUUGUAAAGCUCUUUCACCGAUGAAGAUAAUGACGGUAGUCGGAGAAGAAGCCCCGGCUAACUUCGUG